rnacentral:rRNA from 1 species
CAAUGGGGGAACCCUGAUGCAGCAACGCCGCGUGAGCGAUGAAGGCCUUCCCGGUCGUAAAGCUCUGUCCUCAAGGNAAGAUAAUGACGGUACUUGAGGAGGAAGCCCCGGCUAACUACGUGCCAGCAGCCGCGGUAAUACGUAGGGGGCUAGCGUUAUCCGGAAUUACUGGGCGUAAAGGGUGCGUAGGUGGUUUCUUAAGUCAGAGGUGAAAGGCUACGGCUCAACCGUAGUAAGCCUUUGAAACUGGGAAACUUGAGUGCAGGAGAGGAGAGUGGAAUUCCUAGUGUAGCGGUGAAAUGCGUAGAUAUUAGGAGGAACACCAGUUGCGAAGGCGGCUCUCUGGACUGUAACUGACACUGAGGCACGAAAGCGUGGGGAGCAAACAGGAUUAGAUACCCUGGUAGUCCAAGGGCGAAUUC